UACGUAGGGGGCAAGCGUUGUCCGGAAUUAUUGGGCGUAAAGCGCGCGCAGGUGGUUUCUUAAGUCUGAUGUGAAAGCCCACGGCUCAACCGUGGAGGGUCAUUGGAAACUGGGGAACUUGAGUGCAGAAGAGGAAAGUGGAAUUCCAAGUGUAGCGGUGAAAUGCGUAGAGAUUUGGAGGAACACCAGUGGCGAAGGCGACUUUCUGGUCUGUAACUGACACUGAGGCGCGAAAGCGUGGGGAGCAAACAGG
rnacentral:rRNA from 1 species